rnacentral:rRNA from 1 species
ACAAGCGGUGGAGCAUGUGGUUUAAUUUCGACGCAACGCGAAGAACCUUACCUGGACUUGACAUCUGGGGAAUCCCUAUGAAAGUAGGGAGUGCCCUUCGGGGAGCCCCAAGACAGGUGCUGCAUGGCUGUCGUCAGCUCGUGUCGUGAGAUGUUGGGUUAAGUCCCGCAACGAGCGCAACCCUUGUCUCUAGUUACCAUCAUUUGGUUGGGGACUCUAGAGAUACUGCCAAGGUUAACUUGGAGGAAGGUGGGGAUGACGUCAAGUCCUCAUGGCCCUUAUGGGUAGGGCUUCACACGUCAUACAAUGGUCGGUACAGAGGGUUGCCAACCCGCGAGGGGGAGCUAAUCCCAUAAAGCCAGUCGUAGUCCGGAUCGUAGUCUGCAACUCGACUACGUGAAGUCGGAAUCGCUAGUAAUCGUGGAUCAGAAUGUCACGGUGAAUACGUUCCCAGGUCUU